CUUGAUCGAGCCCAACCACAGUGGCUCGGUGCGAUCCUGGCCGUAGGUCGCCAACAACGCCUGGGCCUC
rnacentral:antisense_RNA from 1 species